ACGCUGGCGGCGUGCCUAAUACAUGCAAGUCGAGCGAAUGGAUUGAGAGCUUGCUCUCAAGAAGUUAGCGGCGGACGGGUGAGUAACACGUGGGUAACCUGCCCAUAAGACUGGGAUAACUCCGGGAAACCGGGGCUAAUACCGGAUAACAUUUUGAACUGCAUGGUUCGAAAUUGAAAGGCGGCUUCGGCUGUCACUUAUGGAUGGACCCGCGUCGCAUUAGCUAGUUGGUGAGGUAACGGCUCACCAAGGCAACGAUGCGUAGCCGACCUGAGAGGGUGAUCGGCCACACUGGGACUGAGACACGGCCCAGACUCCUACGGGAGGCAGCAGUAGGGAAUCUUCCGCAAUGGACGAAAGUCUGACGGAGCAACGCCGCGUGAGUGAUGAAGGCUUUCGGGUCGUAAAACUCUGUUGUUAGGGAAGAACAAGUGCUAGUUGAAUAAGCUGGCACCUUGACGGUACCUAACCAGAAAGCCACGGCUAACUACGUGCCAGCAGCCGCGGUAAUACGUAGGUGGCAAGCGUUAUCCGGAAUUAUUGGGCGUAAAGCGCGCGCAGGUGGUUUCUUAAGUCUGAUGUGAAAGCCCACGGCUCAACCGUGGAGGGUCAUUGGAAACUGGGAGACUUGAGUGCAGAAGAGGAAAGUGGAAUUCCAUGUGUAGCGGUGAAAUGGCGUAGAGA
rnacentral:rRNA from 1 species